ACAUCAAUGUAUACAAGGCUGCUAAGGUUUAGAAGCCAUAUUGGGAACUUUGACCGGAAAGAGUUGCCACUGAUGCUUAUGACAGACAAUGAAGUAAAAUUGAUAGAGUUUAGAGAUGAAAUUGAACCAAAGAGCCCACAAUCUUCUAGGUGCAACUCUAUUAAAAAUGAAAGGUUGUUGAAUACCUCCAUCCAGUGAGAUCCUACCAUUGACAGGUUGACAUAGUUCAACUUGAGAUGCCUUAAGGAAACAAGAUUAGUCAUCCAUUCAAGGUCCUUAACAAAUAACUGAGAUUCAUUGGAAGAAAGAUCAAGAAAUUGCAAAUUAGAAAUGUUUCCCAAGGUUAGAGGAAUUGCACCUCUGAAUCCACAAUUUGAUAAGUUUAGAUAUUGUAAAUUUUUCAAAGAUCCGAAGAAUUUAGGAAUUGGAAUAUGCUCAAAUGAGUUGCCACUCAAAUCUAAAGAUCUCAAAGAUUUGAGUUCUAUCAAAGAAGGUCGGAUUUCCCCGUUUAAGUUCAUUGAGCUCUAAUUUUCAUAUGCUUCUUCAAGAGAAUAUGGGUUAUGAAGAUUGAUAGAAAUAACAACUCUUGUGUUCUUUUUCACAACCAAUUCCCUCCCAUUGACAACAAUUGCCUCCUAUCCAUGAUGAAAGCCAAUUGCUAGAAGAAUCUUUGAGACCAUUUUUUAAGUCAAGAAGAGCUUCUCGAUCAGCUUUUAAGCAAUUUCCCUUCAGGAUUUCACCUUUACAAGCAAGAUCUCUUGUUAUGAAACAUAGAAUGACCAAAAGGAAACCAAAUUUUGAAAUUUUCUCCAUUUAAGAACACUUAUAAAAACAAGUAAUUAAUGUUAAGUUCCGACAAAAGAAUCAAAAUAACGAUGAAAUUCUAUUAGUAAUAAGAACAUCAAGAUAUUGGAUAAUAAAUAAUACAUUUAUUGUAAUCAAUCGUAAGUUUAAUAAGAUUAAAGAUAUGUCAAGUAAGCAACAUCCUUGAACACAUAUCAAGAAAAAAUAAUUGUGACCUUCUCACCAAUAUCAAAUAUGCUCGGAUAAUUGUUAUCGAUCAAAACUAUAGAAAUCACCGGCCCACAAGAGAAACUUAGAAGCAUUAGAUAAAGGAAAACACUAGGGGAAACUUGGCAUUAUUGGUGGAGUAAGAUCUUACCUAUUAUCUCUUUUUUGUAGUUGUACUCAUUCCUUUGGUUACAAGGGAAUAUUUAUAUAUGAAAGAUUAUUCAAGAACUAUGGGCUUUUAAUUAAAGAAAAGUAAUCCACACGUCAUGAAUUAGUGCAUGACCUAUGAUGAUGAAGCAAGUAUACAAGUCAUGUUUGAAAAAUUAUAAAUAAUAAUAAUAAUGAAUAACACAUCAACAAGUUUUUUCGCAUACCAUUUAAUAAUAUAUGAAAUUUCUUAGACAUUGUAUUUUAGUAAGAAUGUUUCUAACAUUUUUUCUUUCUUUAUUUUAACAUCAGCAAAGCAAUGCACGAGUAAAUAAUUCCAUAUUUAGUAUAAAAUUUAUUUCAUGAAUAGGGCUUUAUCAUCAAUUUAGAAGACAAAAAGGAUAUUACAUGAGAAAAUAUUUCUUCACAAAUUAUGAGAUUUAACUACUAAAUUGAAAGUUUUAUAUACAUCUAUCUUAAUCAUUAAAUACAACUUAAUACCAAGGAAUUAUAAUAUUUUGGAAUUACAAUAAACUUAUUUUUAUAAUAGAGUAAAAAAGAAAUUGACAAAUUCUCUUGAUAAACUUAGUUAAAUAAGUAGUGAGAAUAUUGUUGUCCACACACAUAUAUAUAGAUUACGAUAAAAAUAUUUAUUAAUUUCAAAUUUAGAUAAUAGAUUUCAAACCACUUUGCAUGUUGGAUUAUUAGUCUUAUAGAAUUAAAUAUAAGACUUUUUAUGCACAAUUUUGAAGCAUAUAUUCAUUCAAGUCAAAAGAUAUAAGUAUUUUAUUAGAGUAGGUGGUGAUCUAAUUUAAACUAUAUCAACAAAUUCUUUGCAAGUCAAAAAGCAGCAAGUAUUUGAAUAAAGUAGAUUAGAAUAAAAUUUAAACUAAUUCAUAAGACUUUGACCAUAGUGUAAUUGUCUUCUUAAAAUAGUUUUAAUAAAGUAGAUGGUCACAGUCAUGUUAGAUUGGCUAAAGAAGGUGCUUCUUUUUUUAGUCUAUUGUUCAUGCUAUGAUGUUCAUACCUCUUGCUCUUUAUAAUUUUAAUUUGAUGUAUUAAGUGUUCGGAAAGAAUUCUCAAUGUAUCAUACUAUCACAUCAGAUGAUAUCAAAUCCCUUAAUUCAAGCUUCUCCAAAUAUAUUUACAUAAAUCAUGGUUACCAUGUAUAUAAAGAUAUAUCCUAUGAUGCAUAUUUUUAUUUCUAUUUCUUGAUUUUUCCCAUUUACAUUCAUCAAUUUCAUUGAAUCUUUAAUAAAGUUGGAAACAUAACUUUUUGGAAGGAGGUAUUAAGUUUUCUAGGAAAUUUACAUCAUCCUUUUGUGGAGUCCGACCAAUUUAAAGGUACUUCAAACAAGUAAAAGCUUCCCAUGUGCCCAAUGAUACAAUUUCCCCCAAGUGGGGUUUCCAUGAAUGUAAAUUUUCUAGGAAAUUGACUAGUCAUAAAAAUUGACAAACAUGCAAAAGUUUCCCAUAUGCUCAAUGAUACAAUUUUCCCCAAGUGGGGUUUCCAUAGAUGUAAAUUUUCUAGGAAAUUGACUAGUCAUGAAAAUUGACAAACAUGCAAAAGUUUCCCAUAUGCUCAAUGAUACAAUUUUCCCCAAGCAGGGUUUCCAUGGAUGUAAAUUUUCUAAGAAAUUAACUAGUCGUGAAAAUUGACAAAUAAGCAAAAGUUUUCCAUGUGCUCAAUGAUACAAUUUUCCCCAAGUGGGGUUUCCAUGGACGUAUAUUUUCUAGGAAAUUGACUAGUCAUACAAAUUGACAAACAAGUAAAAGUUUCCCAUGUGCUCAAUGAUACAAUUUUCCCCAAGUGGGGUUUCCAUGGAUGUAAAUUUUCUAGGAAAUUGACUUAGUCAGAAAAAUUGAUAAGCCAUGGUGAAAAUUCCUUAGAUAUGAUGGGAUAAUGGUAUGUAUCCCUCAAUCAUGUCAGGUUCUUGGAAUAAUGUGGAACCUAGCGCAAUCCAACCAAUGCAAUACUUAUGUUCGGCUAGAAAAAAGUAAGAAAAAAUUACUAAGGAAAAUAAAUAGAAAAAAUAAUUAAAUUUUUUUUCUAUUUUCCAAAGGGUGGAGAAAAUGCAUUUAUUAUGAUUUUUUUUUCUUCAAAUUUCUCAUUGACAAUCAAAUAGGAACAAAAUUUUAUAUUUUUAUAUAUUUUUUUUAUGGUAUCCAAAUAUAAGAAAAUAUACUUUUUUAGAGUAUAUUUAGUUCCUAAAACAUUCCAAGAAAUGGAAAAAUAAGAAAAAUUAUGUUUUUCAUGUUUGAAUACCUUAGAGAAGAUUGAAGGAAAAAAUAUGGUAAAAUGCUAAAAGAAUUUCCUCCCUAUUUUAGAUGAAAAAGUAAAGACACUUUGAGGAUAGUGUGUUUUUAUUAAUGUGUUUGAAGGGUGUUUUUGUGUCCAUUUCCAUCUUUUCCUACUUUUUUCCAUUUCCAUGCAUUUCACCAAAUCCUUGGUAAACUCAGAAACUUAAACUUUAUGGGAGUUAGAAAUGAGAUUUCCAGGAAAUUUACGUAGUCCAUUUGUUAGAAAUUUUGUCUUCUCCUUUUUCCAAAGUUGACUAAUUCAAAGGUCCUUCCCAUGUGUUUGCAUACAAAUUUUUCCAAGUGGGAAGGGAUUUCAUGGAUUUCAAUUUUCCAAGAAAAUUGACCUGCUAUGGAAAAUUCCUCAAAUUUGAUGGAAAGUCUUUUGCAUGGCCCAAUAAGCACUUUCCUCUCAAUUUGUAGGACUUUUUUUGCCUUCUCUCAUCUCUCAUGUUUAUAUAUAUAUAUAUAUAUAUAUAUAUAUAUGAAUGAAUAUAAGGUAACUAACCCAUCUGACAAAUCCUCUAAAUAAUCACAAAACCCCAAAGAAAAAUCCAAUAGAAAAGGAGAAAAAGAAAAGAAAAAAACCUAAGUGUUGGAGACAGAGGAAAAAAAUUCAUAAGUAUAUUUUUAAAUUAAAAUAACUAUAUUAUUAUUAUUAUUAUCAUUAUUAUUAUUUUAAAAACAUCAUAAAUAUAUUUUAUUCAUAUUAAUAUUUAUAAUAUUCAUCUUCCUUUUAUUUUUUCUUUUGUAGAUGAAGUAAGAUCUCCAAAAAAAGAAAAAAAAAGAAAGUGCUAGUAGUUUAUAUGAAAAUCAAAAUGAAAGUGUUAGUAUAACUUUUGAAAAUUGGAAAAUUGUAAAUAUAGAGGUAGAGUCAGAUAAUGAGAUAGAAUUUGCAAACAUUAUCACAAGAUAUUUUGUUGAACAUCAAAAUAAUAGAAAAACUAUAUAGAAAUUCCGAGCUAGUUAAUAUAAUUUUAUAAGAAUUUAGUAAUCCAACGUUACUAGAAGAAUAGAUAGAUCAAGAAAACUUUGUUGAUAUAAUGUGUAAAAUCUAUAUAUACGAACAAAUAAUUGAAUAACUUUACAAAACCAAUUUGAUUAAAAAAACUCGUAAAUAUAGAAACAAUAAACCCAUUUACUAUUCAACCAAAAAUUAAAGGAAAACAGAGAUAAUUACAAAUGAGUUAGUAAAUGCAAUAGAAGAAGAAAAUAAAAUAGAAUUUGUAAAUGUAAAAAUUGAAAUAGUAAGGUAUAUGAAAUCGUAAAGCAAGCCAAAAAAAAUUAAAUUAAAAAUAGUAAUACAUUUGGCUUAUGAAACUUUGUAUAGAGAAAAAAAACAAAGUUAAAUAAUAAUUUUAAAAAACUAAAAUUCUUUGUGGCUUGAGAAAGUUUUAUUAAUCAUUUGUUUUCAAAGGCAAAAUGAAAAACCAAAAAACAAUUAAAAUCAUAGUAAAAUGAAUAGAAAUAAUAGAAUGUAUGAAAGGAAAUAUUAAAAUAUUAACAAUUAGAUUAUAGUUUUUAUAUAUAUUCUAAAAUAUAUAAUUAGUUUUUAUUUUUUAUAUUUUAGUUUGAAUUGAGAUGAUAUUUGAAAAUUGUUUAUUAUUAUUAUUAUUAUUUUAUGCUAAUAUUACUUUUUCUUUUCUUUUUAGAUAUUUUCAACAAAUGAUUCGAUUCAAUUUUAUUUGUGUUUUAGUUUUAUUCUUGAGAAAGUUAUUUUUACUCAUAUGAUUAAAAGAAUUUAUUGAAUUGUAAUUUUAAAAAAUCAAUUUGAUUUUAUUUACAAGAAAAUUGUUUUUUUAUUUAUUUUUUUCUAGAAAAAUAAUGAUUUUUAUAACUUUUUUAUGAAGGUAUUUCAAUUUAAUUUUUAUUUUUACAAGUUAUUUAGAAAAAUAAUUUUUAUAAAUUGAUCAACAACUAUAUUUAAAUUAAAUUUUAUUUGCAAGAAAAUUGAUUUUUAUUAUUUUUAUAUAAAACAAGACUUGUACAUUUUAUUUACAAAAAUAUCAAAAUUGGAUCCAAAUUUAUCAGUAAAAAUAAUUUUUAAUACUAAAAAUGGCUUUUUUUACAAUUUUAUUUACAAGAUAUACUUCAAUCCCUUUUUUAUUUACCAAAAAUGAUUUGUUUUAUAUAAAACAAGACUUUUACAUUUUAUUUACAAAAAUAUCAAAAUUGGAUCCAAAUUUAUCAGUAAAAAUAAUUUUUAAUACUAAAAAUGACUUUUUUUUUUACAAUUUUAUUUACAAAAUGCACUUCAAUCCCUUUUUUAUUUACCAAAAAUGAUUUGUUUUAUAUAAAACAAGACUUUUAUGUUUUAUUUACAAAAAUAUCAAAAUUGGAUCCAAAUUUAUCAGUAAAAAUAAUUUUCAAUACUAAAAAUGCCUUUUUUCUUUUUUUUUUUUACAAUUUUAUUUACAAAAUGUACUUCAAUCCCUUUUUUAUUUACCAAAAAUGAUUUUUUUUAUUAUUUGAUUUUUAAAAAAUAUCUUUAUUUGGUUUGAGCUAAGUUUUUUCCAUUUUAUUAUAAGAAGUUUGAAAAUUACUUCAAUUUUAUGAAAAUAAUUUCAACUUUAUUAUUUAAAAAAAGUUUCAAAUUUAUUAAAAAAAAAUUGAAAAUAUUUUUAUCCUUUUAAAGAAGAGAUUUCCAUAACUUUAUCCACAAAAGUAUUCUAAUAUAUUUUUACUUAAAAAAGAAUUUUAUUCCAAUAGGAUUUUAAAAAUAGUUUUUUAUACUUUUAUUAAAAAACGGUUUUUCCAAUUUUAUUUAGAAGAAAAAAAAUUCAGAAAAUAGUUUUUAUUAAUAUAAAAUUAAAAUUUUUCUUUUAACAAAAAUGGUUUCGAACAAUAGUUUUUAUUAAUAUAAAAAUAUAAAUCUUAUCUUUUAUCAAAAGCUGUCUUCCUCGUGGGGCUGUCUUUUCGGUCAAUCUAGCCAUCUCCCAAUCAACCCAUGCAAACAAAGGUCCAGACCAAUAAAAAUCAAUAUGCCAAGUAACAUUCAGCAAAGCCCAAUCAUAUAAAGCCCAAAUGAAUAUAAACUAAUCAAGCCUAAACUCAAUGAAUGAAGCUUAAAGCCCACAUGAACAAAUUUAGGCCCAAAAAUAGUCACAACUUAAUGUCUUGAGAGCCCACCAAUAAAACCCAAUGGUCAAAAUAUCAAUUGUGAAGAUCAAAGGACGGCUUUACUUCACUUUUAAAUUUUGUUUAAAAAAUAUUUAUAUUUUUAUUGUAUAUAUUAAAUAGAUCUCAAAUACAUAUCAUAGAGAGUAGUUUUCAUAAAAAUAUUUAGAGUGAGGGGUUCUUUGUUUGUUUGUUUUAUUUUUACUUAAGUCUUAAAACAAGUUACUUUAUUUAGAACUACUUUUUUAAUUUAUCACAUUUUUUAAGACAAUUUUAUUUAUUUAUUUAUUAUUCUCUUAUAUUACUUUUGAUCGAUAAGAUAGGAUAAGAUAUAUAUAUAUAUAUAUAUUUCAUGUCCCAGAAUAUGAAAUAAUAAAAUAAGAAUAACCUACAAAUAAUAAAAUAAGAAUUAACUAAAUUUUUUUCUUGGGUCAAGUUUUUUACUUUAAGCUUUUCAUUUCAGGCAGUUUUUGUUUUAAACUUUACUUUUAGACUAAAUUUGAUAUUUUUAUAAUAUUUAUAAUGUAUUUAUGUUAUAUUCAUUUUCUUUUCAUGUAUAUAUUUUCUUAAAUAUUGAAUUAUAUUAUUUCAUAUACUUUUUCAUUUUUUUAGAAAUAUGUACAAAUUUAUUUUUACUUUUUUAUUGCUAUAUUGAAACUUUUUUUUAAUUUACUAAUUAAUUUUUCAUAUAAAUAUAUUAAAAAAAAAUUAAACAUUAUAGAUGGAUUUUGAAUUAUGCAAUUCCAUCAACUUGUUUAUAUAUAUGAAUAUAAGGUAGCAAACCAGUCAAAUAAAUCCUCUACACAAUCACAAACCCCAGAGAAAAUCCAACAAAAAUAAAGAAGAAAUAAACCUAGCUAAGUGUCGGAGACAAAGGAAAAAAAAAUAAAUCAUAAGUAUAUUUCAAAUUAAAAGAACUAUUAAUAUUAUUAAUAUUUCUAUUUUGAAGAGAAUCGUAUUAUUUUUUAAUGGGAAGAGUUUUUAUUAUUAUUAUUAUUAUGAUUUUGAUACAAAAAGGGAGAGUAAGGUUGCAAUUUUCAUUUUCUAAAAACAAUUUUUAUUUUUAUUUUUAUUUUUUCUUGAAAAUAAGCAUGAUUAAGAUAAAGGAAAAUUAUUAAUCAUGGUUCUCAGUAUAAAAAGAAAAUCCAAAAGAAAAUAAAGUUAAAAUUGUAAUAAAAUGAAUAAUUUCUCAAAGAAAAUAUUAAAUAUUACCAAUUAUAUAAUAUUUUAUAUAUUCUGAAAUAUAAAAUAAUUUUUUAUUUUGGUUUGAAUCAAGAUGACAUUUGAAAAUUUUUUAUUAUUUCAAAUUUUUUGUUGUUAACUAUUAUAUUUCUAGUUUUACCCUUGGGUGAAGAGAAAAAGGGCGGGGUUCCUUGGCCUAGAAAACCCUUGCAAGAUUUUGACCUAGGUUGGGUUUCAAAAUUGGGCCUUCAUGCAUGAUUCAGCACAGAAGGUUUUGGGCUCACAGAUGAUGCGGGUGUAAGAUAAAUCAUAAUUAAUGGAUGUGUAGACCCCAUUCUGGGCUUGCUUUUAUGCAGCCAUUUUUGACAGGUGUAGCCAUCUAGGGUGGCCACGUGUCAAUCUCUGGUUGGCUGUUAGGGGCACCGGAGUAGUGUUUUUUAUGGCCAACCAGAGGUCGACACGUGUCCAAAGAAUCUGCAAAAAAUGCUGCAGACAGUCAGAGGAGCAGGGUUGCCAGCUGCUUGGUCUCGCUUUUCCUGGCCGUUGGGGGAUAUUCUGGAGGGGGUGCUUUUUCCAUUGUGGAGGGGAGGUCUCCAGAGGGGUUUUUCUUUCAGGUGGAGGAGAUAUUUUGAUUCAGAGAUGCCGUUAGGAUUUUUUGGAGAGAUGGAGGUUUUUCUUGGGAGCCAGAGGAGAUAUGUUGGGGGUGUUUCUUUCUGGCAGUGGGAGAGGAAGAAAAAGCUAGAGAAAGAGCUUGAGCUGAGAAGAAGGGAGAGAGAAAGUUAGUGCGGAGGGAGAGAAUUCCAUUGACGACUGUGGGAAAUUGUGGAGAGCUUUUGGAAGUUGCUUGGACAGGAGGGGAAGUUCACUGAGAAAGCUAAAAUUUGAUUCUCGUUGAUUAAGGAACCAGGUAUAUACACAGUUUUUCCCUCGUCUCUCGUUAUUCAUUGAUUUUCCUUAACAUAAUGCUGUUUGGGGUGGAUGUUGAAGGCCACUGAUUUGUUUGUUGAUAUAUAUGCCUGCAUUUGUGUGGUUACGAAAUGCUUGAGAAUCAUAAGGGUGGUUACAUUUGAUAUGGUUUACCCACCUACACAGAAUGAUUCAUGAAGUGGAUUUUCUGAGAUUUUUCUUUAUUUAUUCAUCUUCUUUUACACUCUGUUUCUCUACUUCCCCUGUUUCCUGGUAAGUUUUCCUAUCUCUGCUUGAAGAAGUAAGAUACUGCAAGAGAUAUGUUCUCAAGCCAUGGAUAUGGGAAGUUGUAAUGCGUUUAUUGUAGCCGGGUGAUUUUAUGCGCAUAUUUAGUGGUUUAUGAGAAAAAUCGGAUGAAGAAGCCGCAAAGGGUCAGAGCUCAUGAGGAUAGAGCAUGAAAACGGGAUGUAAAGGAGGUUUAACAAUCGAUUGUCAACUCACGACCCCUGACAAUGCUACUGCUAUUUCUCAUAUUGGUUUGGUUAUUGCAAGUAGUAGCAUGUAUAGGAGGAACAGACAAUUGUGGGGGAAGGAUUUCUCGGGAUAGAAGGUUUUUCUAUACGUCAAGAUCAUGAAGUUUUGGGUCCUGAUGCGUAAAUUGGUGUGUUUGGGUCUAAGCUACAAGCGAAACAUUGGAGAACGAUAUAGCGUCAUUGGUGGAUAGGAUAUUUGAGCUCGACAAGGAUUCUGGAGUGAUAAUGGUUGCUUGUAUAAAUUCGUAGGUUGAAACACUCCCUAAGGACCCUGUGAUCUGCAAUUGCUGAGAUCUCCGCGAUGCAGGAAAUCAGAUAUUUGCGCCAUGUGUCUCAGAUGGAAAUACACAUAAGCAUCAGCGCGAGGGACUUAUAAUGGUCACGAUGCAUGAAACUGAUUUAGAUGCUUUCAAAUGGGCAUAAUUUUUGGGUAUAGUCAGAAUGAUUCUAUGGACGAGGCUCCAUGCUUGUUCCAGGCAAUGUCUCUUGAUGUUGGGUUGUUGAAAGCCAUGCUUGUGACUAAUGAAUGCUAUCCAAAACCGCCAUACCCAUCAAGCUCACAUAACUCUUCUUCACGCCCAUGUUCAUGCUUUUCUGCAGUGGCCCAAACCACCUUGUUCAUCCCACCACCUUUUCUCUCUCUAGUUUUUCAUACCCAUUUCUUGAUACCCACUUCAUUCAUCCAUCUCUCCUUUCCACCAUACCCUUCACAACCGGUUUCUAGACCCAUUAAUACCCUCACAUGCCUACCACUGCCCUUAUCUCUCUAUACCACAUGCCGUUCAUUGCUCACGGUUCCCCCAUUGGCCUCCAUCAUCUCAUGCUAUCAAUCCCACGCCUAUGUCCUCCUACAUCAUCCACAACCGUGUUCCAAUGCUACUAUAAAACCCAUUCUUCUCUCAACCUUUCACUUACUUCGUACCCACCAAGCCCCCAAGACCCACUUCGCACUUCACUCAUGGCUGCGCCUCAUGCUGAUCCCGUGCGUACAACCGACUUCAUGACUACUCCUCCCAAUUCAACGUUUCCAGGUGCAAUGUUACAGGGUUUCAACAUUUACCAGGGAAAACACCUAUGUGUGCAGCCUGCAUGUGUGCUCACUAAUGAAUAUGCUGGCCGGCACAAGACAUGCAAAAGCCGAGCCUAUGAUAGAAAAUGGGGUUUAAAAGAUCUGUAAGGAUUCAUGGUUCAAAUGAGGGUUCUAAAUCAGAUUGAGUCCCAUUGGGUGACGCGUCAAUAUCUUCUUGGUACUAGAGAAGAUGAAAGAGAAGGUGCAUAUGUAGUGUUCACAAUUCUCUAUCAGCCAUGGACACUAGCAGAGAAUAAUGAUGAUAUUCUCAUUAUUGAGAUUGCUAAAACGAACAAGAAUGUUGUUCAUGACGUCAUUCACGUUGGCGGGUCCGCUAUCGUUCCCAUUAUGCAAUAGCUAGCUAUUGUAAGAUCCCGACUGUCCAUCCCACCACUAGGGUGAAAGCACGGCGACGACCCUACUUAGAGAUUCCGUUGAUGCUAAAGGGUUAAAGCAGUUUAAGGAUGAGAUGAUCCGAAUGAAGAUGAUGAUGAACGGGCUGGUGAAUUGCAGGAGCAUGCAGAAAUGGUUAAUGUAGAGAGGUCAAGUUUUCACCUGCAUGAAUUCCCGUUCCUGUCUUGAGAUGAAUGCCUACAAAAUGGGUUGUAGACAUCAAUGACGUAAAUUGUGGUGAAGUCCAUACCCUGGACAUUCUUGGUGAGCUCUCUGCUUUUAAGAUACCUGCCAAGUGAGAUAAAUUAUGGUGCCUACAAGGAAGUUCCGGAUGCUGAAUCCCCCCAGAAUGAAUUCCCGAUAGUUCCACUGCUGUUUGCAUAUAGCGCGCUGCUCUCUUCACAAUCCUUACAUGCGGAAGACAUCAUUAUCGGUUUUUUUUUAUAAGGGAAUAUUCUGUAGAGCAUGCACUUGAGAAUGCUUGCAGCCGCACCUUACAUUAUUGCAACCCAGAUCCUCUUUACUGAAUAAUAUACACCGAGGACGAGUUCUACGAUGUGGAGAGGUCAAACCCAGUUUAUAAAUAUGCUUUUGUUAUGAAUGAAGAAGAGAUGUAUUAUACUUACGAGCUUGUUAAUAGCUCUGUUACUUUGAGGCUGGUUUUAAAUCCACAUGGAUGUGUGCGGUGUUUCAUAUGGAUUGAUCGAACACGUGGGUGGAUCAUUUAUUCAUUUGCACAGAAGGACGACUAUGACAGUCAUGUUCUGUGUGGUGCAUAUGGCAGCUGCAACAUUAACCAUCCCCGAAAAUGUACAUGUAUGGAAGGAUUUGUGCCAAAGUUCCUCAAAGAAUGGAACAUGGUGGGUUGGUCAAAUGGAUGUGUUCGGAGCACUCCACUGGAUUGUCACAAGGAUGAGAGGUCGUCGCUUGGUUCUUCUCUGUGGAGCCGCGACGCUCAACACUAUAUUACUAGUGCAGUUGCAGCGGAGGUAGAUGCUUCCGUGACCUCAACUGCAUCUAAACCUGAGCAUGAGCUUCCAAUAUUUGAAGUCCUUCAAGUGGACUUAGACGAGUAAAUGGACAAGGAUUCCCGAGUAUGCAUGCUGGGUGAAGACGUGGGUCACUAUGGAGGUUCCUACAAGGAGACAAAAGGGCAUGGCUACAAAAUAUGGGAUCCCAAGGGCUAGUAGGGUCCACAACAUCAUGGUCUGAUUUGGUGACCUAUACAGCUUCAAACCGCACCUCUAGGGCAGGUAUUGCAUGGCCACCUUUUGGACAUGCUACUUUGGCCACGAGCUUUUCCUAUGUGUCUUCACUUCAUCUAUUCUAAACAUAAUUUCUAGCACUCUCAUUCCUCCAAACAAUUUAUUUAUUUUUUUUAAAUCCCAUUUUAUAAAUAAUUUUUCACAUUUCAAUUUUCAAAUAAAUUUCAACUCUUUUCCUCUUCAUCUUUAGGGACUCUUUAGAUUUCAAAGUCUCAUUUUCAAAUAAAUUUUUGCUGCCACCUCUCUUCGGCAUGCAACUUUCAAGACUUCCCUGAUUUUAAAAUGUUUUAAAAUAAGCAAGAAUAAAAUUCCGUAAUUCUAAGCAAAGGAAUUUAUGGAAUUAAUUCAUGCAAAAAUGAAUCGGACUAUGGUGGAGGCCCCACAUAUGAGUUUUCAUGACUAAUUGACUGUUUGAUUGAUUUAUCUGUCAUGUGUGAUUGAUUUAUUCUGUUCCUUGAUAUACAUAUAAUCAUUCUGUGUUCAUUCACUAACCCCGCUUUUGAUAAUGCAUUACAGCUCGUGGCCCAAGUAUGCACUCUCUAUACCUAUUCUGAUUUUCAUAUGUGCAAGUUUGAUUUGAGUAUCCACUAAUUUUCUCAUUGAUUGCCACGUUAACUUCAAUCUAUUAGUAGAGACCCGACUCUAGGGACUUAGAGGGGUGCUACGGUUUAUACCGUACCUUCCCGAUAAGUAACUUGACCCCCGAACCCAAUCUGGUUUUUCACAGACCACCUUUUCCAAAAAUCAGGAGUUGUACUUAAGGUUUUCUUUCUUAUUUUGUUUACCCUUUAAAAUAAAACAAAAAUAAGUGGCGAAUCUAAGUCAGUUUUUUUUUUAAUUAAUAAAAAAUCAUUUUUUUUUCAAAAUAAAAAAUCAAGCUGGCCAUUCGAGUGGGAAACGCAUUGAGCAUGAAAUGCGGGGUCCACAGUAUGAUUAUUGAUUUUUUUUUUUUUUAAGCAAGUUCAAAAUCAUUGAAUUGGAUAGAAAUUUGCUAGCCCCGUUUGGAUUAAAAGAAAAUGCUAGGAAAAAUAAAAGUUGAGAAAUAAAUUUAAAAUUUUAAAUUGAUUUUUUCAUGAAAAAUGUGAAGAAAAAUAAUAAAAUAUAAUGGAAAAUACCAUAAAAUAUUUCAAAAUUUUCAAAGUCUUCUUUCCAUUUUAUAAAAGAGAUAAAUAAAUUUGGAGAUUUAUUUUAUAGCUCUAAAUGUAAAAAGGGAAUAGAGGUGUUGAAAUGGUAAUCAAUAAAAACUUACAAAAGUUUUCAAUAAAGUAAUUUUUUCCUUAUCACUAACUUUAAAAAAAUAAUAAGAAGAAAUAUUGAAUAAAUAUUUGGAAUAUAUAUAUAUAUCCAAUUUUAAAGGUUUAUUUUCAAGUUUGAUAAAUAUAUUUUCAAAGUUUUGCUGCUUUUAAUAUUUAAUUUCUUUAGUAAUAAGCAAUUUUUCUGAGAAGAAUUGUACAAAGCAAGAAUAAAAAUAUAAAAAAUUUACAAAAUAUUGGUAGUUAGAUUUUAUGAAGAUAUCCAAAAAUAUUAUAUAAAAAUUCCUAAAAAAUUAUGCUGUGAUCAAAAUUGGCCACAACCCAUAACAAGAAAGGAAAAUCCUCAAUUUUAUUUUCAAUCCUAAACUUCAAAUACUCAAAUCCAAUUUUUCAUAGAAAAUUGAACUAAAUAUAUUUUUGGAAAUUUUAAUUAACUCUUGUUUUAGAAACUAGUUAAACUACCUUCAUGUAGUACAAUUUAAAUAAAAAAAAUGAAUUUACCAUAAAUUAAUGAAAUUAUCAUUCUCAAAAAUUUAAUAUGACUAAAAUAAAUUUUGUUUUUAUCUAUUUUCUCUCUUUUUUUCAAAAAAAUUUAGAUCUAAAACUUUCCCAUGAAAUGAUAACUCAAAACCCACACCAACAAUAUAAAAGUGGAAUCAAUACAUAUAAAAUAAAUCCACAAAUUUCAAAAUCAUAAAACUUAAAUUUCAAGUUUUUUAAUAAGUCCAAUUUAACAAAAUAUAAGUUUAAUAUAAAAUUUCAUCACAAAAUCCAUAAAAACAAACUUCUUAGAUUUUUACAUUUAAGUUUUAGUUCCAAAUUCUACCAAGGCAUAAGUACUUAUAUGUGUUGUUGAUAUAAAUGUCUCUUUGUGGCAUCUCCAAAGUUCCAACUUUUCAUGUUCGUCAUUAUCUCUUCCUCGCCUAAAAAAACCCUAAUAAAUUAAUUAAAAUUUUUUUAUUCACUAAUUACCAUCAUUUUCAUUGUCAAUAUCAAAACCAUCGAAAUGGAAAUUCUCCGAUAUUCAUUAUAAGAAUAAAUUUAUUUAACUUCCACUUUGGCCUUUGACAACAUGAAUAUAGCUUUCAUGUAGGAUUAUCUUUACUCUUUCUCCUAAUAUGAUCAAUUUCUAACCGUUUUGUAUAUAUUUCCUUUAACAAAAUACUUUUGCUAAAAAUUAUGAAAAAUAGCUAAAAGUGUAAAUAUCAUUUUAUCAAGCAUUGGAUGAUGUAUCGUAUAUGUUUCAUAAGAUACACUUAAAAUAAGAUAGGGGUUGCUAAACGCCUCGUAUCAUGUAUCCUAAGUUUUUAACAACUAUGAUCUAGAUAAAGUUUGAUCCAUAUGCUGAAUGGUGAAGUCAAUGUAAAUAUAACAAAGACAAGAACAUUGAUGCCAAAGGUGACCUCUGAAAUGAAAUACUCACGGGUGGAUAGCAUCAGGAGCACGCCUUGAGCUACUCAGACCAUAUGCAAGAAGAGCCUACAUUGUGAAUAUGUAUUAGUUUCUCUGCGUUCAAUAACUACAAAAUCAACACAAAUGUAAAACAAGAGUAAAAGAUAAGAAUGUCAGGAAGAUGAACAAUCAGACUAACAGGAGUACCUGAUUUGCAAAAUCUGCGGCUGAGUGCACAACUUCAGCCAACAUAACAUGGCUAGAGGUUGUUAACCAGACCCCAAACUUGAGAGAAAAGACGAGGAAGUUACACCAUAAUGCAGUUCUGACUGCUCGUUGGCUAGAAUAAACAUGUUAGGCAGAAACAAAAGAAAACAAAAAAGGUCAGAUGGUGAAAAGUGGGAGCUAAAUUUCUGGUCCCUAAUUGCAAAAAAGGCUCAAAAUUCUUGAUAGGUUUGGAUUCAGUGCAGUUCAUUAAUAUGCAGCUAGGAUUGACGUCAUCCACAAUCACUCCACAUCCUAAGAAAGUGAUCACCCAUAAAAUCACACUAGAGGAGAGAAUCAAGAAACAAAGGAAUCAAAAGAAUGAAAAGCUUUCUCUUUCAUGACUGCUUGCAUCAACUAGUUAAUUUACUCUUUUCUUGUAUUAAAUCAAAGAUAAUGUUACAGAAGAUUAAGAAUUUCCAAAACCAUAAAUAUACACACUCCUAAAGGUUUUGUAGCCUAUUUCUGUGAACUGGGACAUUCCAACUAACCCCAUUUUCAUUUUCGGGUUGCUAUAAAAUAGUGCCCCAAAAUAAAACAUUCCCAUAAAUCUUGCCUUACUUUCCCAAAACCAAAAUACAUGUACUCCGACUCUUAUUUGCAAGUCAACCACACAAAUGCUCACAUGAUCAAUCAACAAACCAACUUACAGCCCCAAAAAUGGCCAGAAAACAACUCAAUUUACCUGUCCUAUAGUAAGCCCUUAACAUGAACUGAAUAGUCCCAAAAAUGCAAUUCAAUUCAAUUCAAUUUGUUUAUCUUAUGGUAAACUAUUAACAUGAAUCAAACAGGCCCCAGAAACUUAAUAUACUAUAGUAAGCCAUUAAUAUUUUUUUUUUUUUGAUAGAUAAACACACAGAAAUAUAUUAUAAAGGGGCAAAAAGGCGACCCAGAGUAUACAGGGAGUAUACAAGCAUCACCUACAAAAAAAAACCAGAAACUAAAAGGACAAACCCUUACCAGCCCUCAACAAGAACCCACCCAGUCCACAAAAUUAAACAAGGAAAAGGGGCCUUGAACUAUGGAAGAAUUAGCCCAAGAUAAGAGAUUACACAUGAAGGAAUUUUUCAAUCUUUGAAUUGAUAGGACUUCAUUUUCAAAAACUAUCCUAUUUCUUUCCUUCCAAACCGUCCAAAAUAAGCAAAGAGGAGCUGCCCUCCAAACCUUGCUACGCUUCUUAUCCUUUAAGGGAGCAAGCCAACCUAAAAGAGUGUCUCUAACUGAAAAAGGGAUAACCCAAUUAACACCAAAUAAGGAGAACAAGAGAUCCCACAAGACCUUUGCCUUAGGACAGUGAAUAAGGAUGUAAUUUAUCGUCUCUUCUUCAUCACAACACAAGGGGCACCUGUUAGCUAAUUUCCAGCCCCUCCUCUUUAGUUGGUCUUGAGUGAGCACCUUCCCCCAAGAGGCUUCCCAAGCAAAAAAGCCCACCUUGGAAGGAACAAACGAACUCCAAAUAAUUCUCCAAGGAAACGGGACUGCACUGCUGUGGUCAAGAGAGUUGAAACAGGAUUUUACAGAGAAUAUCCCAUCCUUCGUCUCCUUCCACACCAUCCUAUCCUCCAAAUCAGCAUUCAGCCUUUUUCCUUGAAUGAUCAGAAGGAAACUCUCCACCUCCUCCACCUCCCAAUCAUUGAAAGGUCUAAGGAAGCGGGGAUUCCACCCACCCACUUCCCCUAUUGAGUCCCAACAGUCCGCAACCUUCGCGUCUUUAGAAACCGCUAAAUCAAACAAGGAGGGGUAAGCCAUUAAUAUAGCUCAACUAGGACCCGAAAAUUCAAUUCAAUAUAAUUCCACAGUAAGCUAUAAAAUCCAAUCAUGAUUAGAACAAUAGCAAUAAGGAAACAAUGUAGGUCAAUAAAAGAAACCAAUGAAAACUAAUAAUAUCAAUAUCACCUGUGCUGAUCAUUGAUUUCAAUGUUCUUAACUUCCUUGGCUCUAGUAAAAAAAUCUGUAAAGAUCAAAGAAAGCCAACAUCAACCCACAAAAUGGAAAAAGAAUAAAAAUAAAACCACACCAUUCAUCCACCUUCAAAGAAAAAAAAAUACUCACUACGAUUGAUAUAGUGGCGAUUAGAAUCUAAAGAGGUCCCACAACUGCACAGAAAAUUCCGCAAUAUGGGCCUUGGAGCGAAAAAAAGGGCUCCAUUUUCUGGGAAUUUACAGUAAGAGCUGGGUUGUUGAAGGUUGUGGUUGAAGGAUGGAGAGGAAUGUAGGAACUGGGAGAAAGUGAGGAGGCGAGAGAGGGGGAAAUGGGAGUAGUGGUGGCGCGUGAGGAGAGCUGGAGAUGGGCUAGGCGUGAAUCGAAGAAGGCAAGAGCCUAUCUUCUUGUUGAUGCUUCUCUGCAUGCUCCUUGCUACUCCACCUCCAUGGAAGCCCUCGUUUCAGAGAUUUCAGGGUUUUGAGCUUUUUGGUUUUGUGAGUUGGAAGGGUUUUUGGAGAAAUGGGAGGAGAGGGGUUUCUGGAAUUGGAACAUGCUUUCUGAUGUGUUUUUCCACUUUUGGGUAAAAAUAAAAAUAAUAAAAUAAAUAAAUUUAUUAUUAUUAUUAUUAUAUUAUGACUCUAUAUGUUCAAGUCAAAAUUUAUUUUAUGAUACAAUUUAUUUUAUAAAAUUGAAAAUAUUUAUAUUAUAGAUAAAAUAAAUAUUAUAUAAAAAAUUAUUUGAGAAAAAAGGUAAAAAAGAUGGUAUUUAUGUUGAGGAAAAACUUUCCCAAUUUUAAAUUUUAGGUUUUUUCAUAUAAUAAUUAUAGAAAAAUACUUCAUUAUCUAAAAUACUUCAAAGGUUGGCUUCUCUUGCUACUUAUGUUUUUAUUAUUUAAACAAUGAUUUUUCUUCAAAAAAAAAAAAAAACCUACUCUUAAACAUUAUUUUAAACAAUAAAUAUUGUAUAUAAAUAAAAUAAAUAUUGCACAAACAAUAUAGUAUAUAAGAAUAUUAUAGUUAAAAAUAACUAUAGUACUUUUGUUUUUUUGGAUAAAUAUGUAUACAACAUAUUCAUUAUACUAAUUGUAUUUUUAUCAUAAUAUUAUAAAUCGAUACCAAUUUUAACUUAGUUUUAUGUUUUUUGGUUGUGAAUGAGAAAUUUGCCGGAAAGGAAAUUAAAUUUAUUAGGCAUGACCUAAAAGCAAAGAAUAAAAUCCAUUUUAUCCCCUCAACCUUUUGUGUCUCUUACACUUUGUCCCACAUUCAAAAUCCAACGCACUUCAAACUUCUUAAUGGGUAGCACUCAACUUUUUUUUUGGAUAAUUUUUAUUUUCAUUAAAUGGAUGUGCUCCACACGUGAUGUGAUAAGAGGGUAAAAAUGUCAUUUAAAAGAUAUCCAUGGCCCUAAAAUCUAUUCCUUCAUUUUUCUUUUUCUGAAACCUUGAAAUCCUCAAGUCUAAAAAAACACACCUCCUCUAAUCAAUCUUCCUAUUAUGCUGAGACAAUGAGUCUAGUACAUUAUAUGUUGGCAAUUUUGUUUCAAUAUAUUCUAACUCAUGAAAGUUUUUAAAUAGUGAAUUACUCUUCAUUGAAGAUUCAAGGUUGUUGUUGGUUAAACCAUAAAGUUACAGGUAAGUUUAAAAAUGUUUAUUUAGUGGCAAGUUAAAUGAUUAAAGGGUUAAAGUGGAUUAGUAUUUUUUUCAUAAGCUAAAAAUACUUGAAUUAAUGUUUUGGAAAAAACAAGAGACACUUGAGCGGUGGAACCAACACUCAAGUGCUUAUCUAACACUCAAGCUCACAAGGCAUUCGAGCGAUGGUUAAGUGCAUUCAAGUGGUUGUCCCAAAACUGCUAGAAUAUGGUAGAUUUCUUUUUGAAAUUUUAUAAGUAUUAUUUUUUGGAAAUUCUAUAUAUCGAUCCCUUAGGCCUAUAGGCCUAUAUAAACCCUCUAUUAACCCUUUUUAGGGUUAGACACCUUGAAAGAGUUGACCAACUUAACCUAUCAUUCCUAAUCUCUCAAGAAAAAAUUCAUAAUAUUGAAUUUCGGGUUGUUGUAAGAACUUGCAUCCCCUAAGAGGUUGAGAAGAAUCUACUAGAGCAUUAGAGGUGUUAUGUCGCGGAUGUGGAUCAAGGUAUAGGUGCUAGAGAAUAAGUUUUUAAGGUAAAAUGGUCAAGUAAAUCUGUGUACUUUGAUAUGAAAUAGUGGAUUGUAUAUUAAAGGUCUUAGACCUCAUGGUUUUUAUUUCCACAGUUAGUGUUAGGUUUUUCCACAUAAAAAAUUAUUAUGUCUCUUGUUUGAUAUUUGAUUACUUUGAUUAUCCCUAAUAUCUUCAAGUUUUAUUUUGGGAUAAUUUUUCAUCACUUAUAUUGUAUUAUUUAAAAACACCUAUUCCCUCAUCUCCCCUCUCAGGUGUUAUCCUAAUAGACAAAAGGUUUUUUCAAUUGGUAUAAGAGCAAGCUUUUCUAAAUAAAAAUCAUAUUUUUAUUGAUCUUGCAAGUCUAAUAUGGAACAACCAAGGUCUGAAGCUCCCCUAAAUAGUCCACUCUAUUUCGAUGGGAGUAAUUAUCCCAACUAAAAGGCCCGAAUGAUUUUUUGAAAAUGCAAGGAGAAAAGGUCUAGAAUGCAACGAAAUAUGGAUGAAGACUUCAUUGAAACUAUAUGUGAAUGGGAAAUCUACUUAUGAAUUAAAACCCAAAAAAGAAUGGCAUAAAUUAGAUAAUGAAGAAAGUGAUGCCAAUGCUCGGGUUCUCUUUAGCAUAUUCAAUAGGGUAAGUCCUAAUGAGUUUUGCAAGAUAGCCACAAGAUGCUAAAAAAGCCUAGGACAUUCUCCAGGUUACUCAUGAAGGCACUUUAGUUGUGAGGUUGGCUAAAUUGCAAAUGUUAACCUUCAGGUUUGAAAGCAUUAAAAUGCAAGAGGAUAAAACUUUCUUUGCAUUCUAUGCUGAAUUAAGCGACAUUUUGAACUUCUUUUUUUAACUUAAGAGAACAAAUCCCUGACUUUAAAGUAAGUAGAAAAAUCUUGAGAUUUCUUCCUGAAAGGUUUAAACCUAAGGUCACCACAAUAGAGGAAAACAAGGAUAUUUACUCCAUGAGGGUUGAUGAACUUGUUGGUUUUUUUCAAAUCUAUGAAAUGACCUUUCUAAACUCUCACAAGCCAAAAGAGUCUACUUUUAAGGAUAAUGAAAUUGAAGAAAAAGAGUCUGAAAAUCAUAAUGAGAUAACUAGGGAUGAACUAGCGUUCAUGGCUAAACGUAUUAAAUGGGUUUGAAACUUAACAAUAGACCUAAUAAGAACAAGCACUUGGGAAAGGAAAAAAGAUUUGGUAGGUCUUCUAAAGAAAAAGAUAAGGAAAUUACGAAAGAGAAAAAAGGUAAAGUGUUUUAAUUAUGGAGGUUUGGAACAUUUUUCUAUUGACUAUGUCCUAGUCUCAAUGACAUUAAAAAAAAUUGUGCAAGCUACAUGGAGCGACACUUACUCUGGUGAGAGUGACUCUAUGACUUCUGAAGAUGCAAGGUAUGAGCAAAAUGAUUAUUUAAAUUUUAUUGCAUCUGUUGAUUCUAAGCAUGAUACUAAUAGUCAUGAGAGUGAGUAUACUAAUGAAUAGAAUGCUAGUUUUCUUAGAAAUAUUUCCAUUGAAUAUCAAAAACUGAUUGAACAAUAUUUGAAGACUCAUAAUAUUCUUAACUCAUAAAAAGCUAAAAUUGAAUAUUUUUAGUGAAAAAAGACUAAUUAUCUUGCGAAAAUUUGAUUCAUUGAGUUUGAAUAUCAUUCUCUUCUUGAGAAAAACAAUAUUCUAACUUAAAAAAUUGAGACUAAAAAACCAUCAAUAAGGCUUUUCACCUUGGGACUAGUGUUGGAUGAAAUUCUUGAGAAAUGCAAGUCCCAAGGAGAUAAGAAAGGCCUCGACUAUAUUAGCAAAACCAAGACUUCCACAGGUGGAGGCAUAGUAUUAGUUAAAAGUAAGGAGGAAACUCCUAACCAAGAAACAUCUUCUAGCACUCUCUCACUAUUCACACACUGUAAGAAGUCUGAAUAUACUCAAAGUAGGUGUCACACUAGAUUUCUUGAGAGCAAUGAGUCUCAAUUGAAUAGGCUUGUGAAUGAGUUUAAAUCUCUAAAGAAUAAUAUUUUGAACACCAUGAGAGGGAAGAAAACCAAUACAGAGCUUAAGACUCAACAAAGCUCCUCCGAGUCACCACCUAAAACAAGUGUGGAUGAGAAAAGAUAGGCUUAAGUGUUAGAUUGUUUUCACAGCCCUUAGAGCUAAAGCCCUUAGUGAAGCUCUAGGCAUAUGACAGAUGAUAAGUCUUUGGUCACCUCUCUUGAGGAUUUUAAUGGAGGAAAAAUCACCUUUAGGGAUGGUAGUGUAGCCCAUGUGAAAGGUAAAAGUAGUAUCUCUAUCCCCAUAUGCCUAGAUUUAGAUGGAGUCCUUUAUGCUAAUGAACUUAAGGGUAAUCUUCUUAGCAUUAGCCAAAUUUAUGACAGUGACUAUAGGGUAAACUUCUUUUAAAGUUUGUGCGAAGUGAUAAACAAGGAAGGAGAAGUCAUUUUCAUUAUGCUUAGAACAGUGGAUAAUUGUUAUGCAAUAAAUUCUAGUUCUAAAACCUCUUUGGUUUGUAGUAGGGCUAAGCUUGAUAUCAUUGAGUCAUGGCAUAGGAGGCUAGAUCACAUAAACUAUAGACACUUGGUCCACAUAACUAACAAAGACCCAGUUAGACGUAUCCCUAAGUUGAGUAGUCAACCUAAAUCUAUUUGUGGAGAGUGCCUAAAAGGUAAAUAAGUAAGAAACUCACUAAAAAAUAUUCAAGGGAAUAACACUUCUAGGCCUUUAAGCCUUCUUCACAUGGAUCUCAUGGACCUUAUAUGAAAAUGGAGAGUAAAGGAUGUCGUUGAUUUUUCCAGGUAUUCCUUUGUAAGUUUUCUAAAGGACAAAUCUGAAACAUUGAGCACUUGAAGUCCUUGUGCACUAGAAUUCAGGUGGAAAUAGGUAAUCCUAUUGUUAGGAUUAGGAGUGAUAGUGGGAGAGAGUUUGACAAUGUAGAAGUUGAUCUCUUUAUGAAUUAAAGGAGAUUAAACAUAAUAUUUUGCCUUUAGAACUCCUCAACAAAAUGGAGUGGUAGAAAGGAAGAACCGUGUUCUUUAAGAAAUGACCUGAGUAAUGAUUAACAUGCAUGAUACUUCUAUGUAGUUUUGGACUGAAAUAAUUAACAUGACUUGUUAUACUGCCAAUAGGGUUUUCCUUAGGCAUGGAAAAAAGAAAACAUCCUAUAAAUUGUGGAUUGGAACAAAGAAAACAUCAUAUGAAUUAUGGAUUGGCAGUGAGUGCUAUAUUCUCAAGGAUAGAGAAAACCAAGAUAAAUUUAAUUCUAAGUCUAAUUUGGGUAUUUUCCUAUGUUAUUCCAAUAAAAGUAAAACUUAUAAAGUUUAUAAUCAGAAUACUAAAGUUAUCCAAGAAUCUUCAAAUGUAGUCAUCAAUGAUUUUGGAUAGGACUAGGAAGUCAUUGACUUUGAAAGUUUAACCUAAAAAUCAAUUGGGAAUAACCUUGAAAAAGUUAACUUAGAUGAUAGUCUUAAAAGUAUCCUAAAGAGGUAAUUGACCCCAACAGGGAUGAAAAACCACUUGAAAUUGCUAAGUUGGGCAAAGAGGAAAGUAAACAUAAAUCUAGAGUGCCCAAAAAUUACCCUAUCUCAAAUGUAAUAGGAAACAUGGAUGAUUCCAUGGUUACAAGGAGACAAUCUAGACAAAAUGAGAUAGAUUUUUUUUUUUUUUUUUUGUUAUACCUCCUAAUUAGACCUAAAGAAUGUAGAGGAAGCCUUAGGAGAUAAAUCAUGGACUACUACACUAUAUGAAGAAUUAAAUCAAUUUGUUAGGAAGAAUGUGUGGUACUUAGUCCCUAGGCUUAAAGACAAACCUGUAAUAGGCACAAAAUGGAUAUUUAAGAAUAAACAAGAUGAAAAUGGGUUCAUUGUGAAGAACAAAGCUAGGCUAGUAGUCCAAGGAUAUUCCCAAAUUGAGGGGAUUGAUUUUGAGGAAACUUUUGCACCUUUAACUAGGUUAGAAUCUAUUAAAAUCCUCCUAGAUAUUGCAUGCUCAUUGAGAAUGAAGCUUUUUCAAAUGGAUGUUAAAAGUGUCUUCCUAAAUGGGAUUCUUAGUGAAGAAAUCUAUGUUGAACAACCUAAGGGAUUUGUAGGUCCUAAACUUCCCAAUCAUGUUUAUAGGUUAAAUAAAACCCUUUUUGGAUUAAAACAAGCUCCUAGAGCUUGGCAUGAGAGGCUUACAACUUACCUUUUGGAAAAAGGGUUUGAGAGAAUGAAAGUUGAUAGAACUUUUUUUCAUUUAUAGGUCUAAGUCUAAAUUAUUAGUGGCUCAAAUUUAUGUUGAUGGUAUAGUUUUUAGAGUCACCCUUACCCUUAACUUUGUUGUGGAUAUGAAAAAAGAGUUCAAAAUGAAUUUGGUAGGUGAACUCAAUUUCUUUCAAAGACUACAAAUUAGACAACUCAAAUAUGAUAUCUUUCUAUCUUAGUCUAAAUAUGAUAGGAAGUUAGUAAAGAAAUUUGGACUUGAGUCCACUAAACACUUUAGGAUACCCAUGAGCACCACUACUAAGCUUUGUAAGAACACAUUUGGGAAGGAUGUUGAGAAAAAGCUUUAUAGGAGUAUGAUAGGAAGUUUGUUAUAUCUUACUGCAAGUUGUCAGGACAUCUCCUUUAGUGUGGGAGUUUGUGCUAGGUACUAAGAAAAUUCCAAAAAGUCACACUUAACUUUUGUCAAAAGAAUCAUUCAUUACAUUAGUGGGACCUUAGAUUAUGGGUUAUGAUGUCCUUAUGCUUCCUCUUGUGUUAUUAUUGGAUAUUUCGAUAUUGAUUGGGUUGAAAAUGUAGAGGAUAGAAAAAACACUUUUGCGGCUUACUUCUUUAUUGGGGAUUGUUUAGUCACUUGGCUAAGUAGAAACAAAAUUUAAUUUCUUUGUCCACCGUACAAACGAAAUAUAUGGUCAUAGGAAAUUGUUGUACCUAACUUCUUUGGAUGAAACAGAUGCUCAGUGAGUAUGACAUUGAGUAGGGCACUAUGAGUCUCCAUUGUGACAAUCUAGUGCUAUUAACAUUUCAAAAAUUUUUGUUCUUCAUUCUUGAACUAAAAAUAUAGACAUCUGUCAUCAUUCUAUUAAGGAUUUAGUUGAAGAUAAAGUCAUUUCUCUAGAGUUUGUCUCAAUGAAACAUCAAUUGGUAGAUAUUUUCACUAAACGCUUGGAUUCUCUUAGGUUUGAAUUCCUUAAGAAGUCCUUGGGUAUAUGACUAAUUGACUAAAAGUCAAAAGGGUAUAAACCUAAGGAUUUGUGUUUUUUUAUCUAUCUUAUUUCUUUUAGUCAAUCCCAUCUUCCUCUUAGAGCACUGGUCUUAUACCCUUUUUCAUUUGCCUUAUUAGUAAGAAUUUCAAUCUCUCAAGUUUUAAGUCUAAGUGAAAUAUACUAAACCUACAAGGGUUGAUUUUAUUUUCCCUAGAAUUUUUAUAAUUACUUUUGAGGUAAAGAAUCAAGGUAUAUAAAAAUCUUUGUAUAGUGGGAUAUCUAAAGAGAAAUAAUUGGCAAGUGAUCCAUGAGGAAUCUUCUUAAGUUUAACUAAUAAAAUAGAAUUUGUUUUUUUCUUUGGAAAUAAUAUCAUGCCUAAUUCUUUUUCAUUCACUUGCCUUGUUUGUCUAAGUUCUAUAUUAUUUUUUCCCAAAACGUCUUAAGGCAUUCUUGGAUUCUUAGUUAAAAUAAACUAAAAUAUUAUUUCCAAGAUUCUUUCCAAGUUUAUAUACUUUCACUUGCAACAUUUGGAAACACCCUCCUAAGUGGAAUAAGAAAACCAUAGUGAAAGUAUGAUUUCCAUAAAUGGUGUACAAUGCCUCCAUUUCUCGGAAAAAAAUAAAAUAAAAAAAUCAUGUUAUGAUUAAGGGGGAGUCAAAGUUAUGUUAUAUGUAGAUCAACGAAUGCCGUGUCAAAUAGUCUGAUGAACUUAACACAAAUUGACUGAAUGUGAAUUUAUUGGAUCACGACAUGACUUAGUGACUUUUAGAAAUUCAAAUUUGAAAUAUGAAAUUAGAUAGUAAGUUGUUUUCCCCUGAAAAUCAAUGCCAUUGAAUUCUCUUAGAUUCUUAUAUAUUUUGAUUGUUAUUCAUCUGAUUUCCAAACUAAGAUUAUGAUUAACCUUGUUCUUUAGAUUUGAAAAUAUCAAUCUUGUUUGGUUGAACUAUGUUUUUUGGGCAUUCUAUUUGUUUUAUUACUUUUCUUUCUAAUUUUGCAAGUUAUUUUAUUUGAAUCUUGCCUUAAGUUGAAUGUUUGACCUAUUUCUAAGGUUUUUACAUGUCUCUAUGUUGUUAGUUGGUUUCUUAAUUUGUUUUGUUUUGUUAGUUCACUUUUAGCGUUCAUAAUCCUUCUAGAGUUUUUCACAUAGUCUCGAGCGUUUAUCCUAAUGCUCAAGCAUUGGCUUCAUCGCUUAAGCGCUCAAGUGCCCUAAGUUUUUUCUAGUGUCACUUCAUGUGGUUGUAUCACUCAAGUACUCCUUAAGUUACAUCCAACGCUUGACAUAGAUAUGAUCGAGAAGAAAAACAUCGGUAGGCAGAGAUAUAUCGGUAGAUUCAAUACUUGGAUUUUAAGAAUAAUAAAUAUGAAUUUUGGAAGCGCAUAAAGUUAGAAUUGAGUUAAGAAAUAUUUGAUUUUAUUAAAUAAAAACAUAUUAUGCAUAAAUAUAAUACAUAUGACAUUGCAAUAGUCCUUAGUACCAAAAUAAAGAUCAAUGUGGUUCCAUCAUAUUGUUAGAUGAAAGGAGCCUAUCUUGUUGAAGACAAUAUUUAUUUAAAAAAAAUUAAAUAUUUUUAUUAAAACAUGUUUUAUUACAUUUUAAAUGAAAAAUUAAAUUAAUUUAUAUAAAAUAUUUUAUUUGAGAUUUAAUUUCUAAAAUUUUAUUAAAAAUAUGUGAUAACAACUUUUUCUAUUAACAUUAAUUUAUUUAAAUAAUUAAAAUUAUUAAUAAUUUAUCUUAUCAAAUUAAUUUUAAUUUAUAAAAUAUUAGAACUUUCUUAAUUUUUUAUAUUAUAGCAAUUUUUUGGGUAAAAUUAUAUUUUUAAUAUUUUAAAAUAAAAACAUUUAAAAUUUAAAUAAAAUUGAAAGGAUAAAUGUAAAAAAAUAAUAAUAAUAGUGAAGUGAUAAUAAUUUUUAAAAAUAAGAUUAAUGAGAUAAAUAUGAAAAAUGUUAAAAAUAAAAGGAUAAUAUAAAAUAAAAUGAUAAUAUAAAAACAUGGUUGAAAUUUGGACCAUCUCAAAAAUUCAAAUCUAAUAAUUUUAAAAAAAAAACCCCAAAAAAAUCCCCGAUUUUUCGAAGAAUUUUUUCCGUUCUCCCUCAUAUCGCUCCACUUGCGAUUUUAUCGCCGAUUUAUCAGUUCCAGACCGAUAUAUCGCCGAUAUUUUGACAAUUUGCACAAUAUUUUUUUUUAUAUUCCUCUUGUUCAAUAAUUAGUGCUCAAAAUCGUUUCGGGGCCAUCCGAUAUUCGAUAUAUCGGCGAAAUAUCGCCGAUAAAAACCAACAUUUUAAUUCAUGCUCUUAGCACACCUUUUUGAAUCUAUUUCACUUCUUUAGUUCAUUUGAGCACUUUGGGUUGCUGCUUUUUGGCUUCUAGUGAUCUGUUCAGGGCUUGUUUCAUCUUUUCAUCUUCAUAGUAUUGUUUAAGACUGCUUUCUAAGCAUUUCUAAUGGUUUAGUUUCCUCAUAUAUUUUUCUCGAUUUUCGAGCUUUUUUACUUUUAGUUUUUGUAUGAUAUGACGUUGUUGUCUUAGGGAGGUGUCUUCUCCGAAGCCUUACUCUCACGAAGUUGUUCAGGGCAUCCCUAUCUAGGGUCUUUUCGACUUGAAUAAUCUUCCAUUGGAGCAUUUUCACUCUAAGGAGGCUCAAGAUAGAUACUACUCUGUUCUUCGGAGUCAUCGAGUCAAGGUAGAGCUAUCCAUUGAUCUUAGAGCCUUUAAGGACACCUCUUUCUUGGUUUCUUCCAUGUUAGGGGCUUGGAAACUCUUAUGACUAUUUGAGAGACCUCGUAUCCUCAUUACAUUCAGAUAUUCAAUUCAAACAUCCAUUCAAUAGUUUGUGGUCUCAUAUUUAGUGUCACCAUGUAUGGCUAGACCUUCAUGGUCUCUACUUGAUCUAUCAGGUGUGUUAUGGGCAUGUUUUUUCUUAGUAAUCAGCUAGCUUUUAGUCUUCUUUCCGGAGGUUUAAGCACUCACUAGAGGUGAGCUUGCCUCUAUUCCUAUUACUUUGUAUGACGAGUCCUAUCCGUUGUCGACUUACGUUUCCAUUGCUAACUUCACCAAGUUAGCUUGGGUCCUCGCUAUGUUUAUGUCUUAUUCCUUCUACUCCUCCUUCCAUCGUACUCAGAUUCGUCACCUUGUGGCUUGUUUUAUUCAUACCAUUCUCUUUGGGUAGUAGUUCGACAUUGCCUAGGUGAUCCUUGACAUGAUGACAUCAUACCGCGAUCCCACCAUCCGCAGUGGAGCUCCCCUAUUCACCCUUCUUAUUACUAUGAUUCUAGAGCACAUCAGUUUCAAUUUCGACCUUGCUUUGGUAGCUUGGGUGUCUCGUACUCUCAUUAAUGCGAGUUCUUGGGUCAAGCACUAUAGCCAUGUGUACGGUUGAUAAUCCCUCUGGCCUCAGCUCAAUCAAUCUCCAUUCCUCUAACUUCAAUGUCAUAAGAGGUGGCUCAAGAGACCGCAAUAGAGAAGGAGGAGAUUAGGCCAACGGAGUAAGAUUCUCCCAUUUUAAAGGUGGUUUCAAGAUGGGGAAUAGGGCCCUUGUUUUCACCCGUCUCUAAUUUUGGAUCUUUAACAUUUGUUGACCUCAACCCUAAUUAUUUCUUCCAAUCUAUGCCCCAUUACAAGCAUUUUUUGUUAUCUCCUUAUCCCCACUUUAUGGUGGGCUUAGUCCAGCACAAAUAGGUUGGUGAGUUAGUUAAGGUUUGUCUUAGAGGCCUAAAUGGACCAGACAUGAGCCUAGUUUUUUAUAACACCUACUAGUGGUGGGCCUUUGCUCUUCUAUUGUAAGCUCCAAGGCUUCAUUGACAUAACAAAUGAUUAGGCAAAACCAUUUUAUAUUUUUUAUUGUUAGCUCUUAUAUUUUUACUUUUAACCAUAAGUAAGGAGAAAGGGGCUAGUUUCCUUGGCCUAAAAAACCCUUGUAUUCAAGCUUAUGAUCUAGGCUAGGGUUUCAAAAUUGGGCCUUCUAGCCAAGAAGAAUUUGGGCUCAGGGCGUUAGAUAAAUCAUAAUUAAUGUAUGAUUUUUGAUUUAUUUCUUUUAAGCAAGUUCAAAAUCAUUGAAUGUGAUAGAAAUUUAUUAGACCUGUGUGGAUUAAUAGAAAAUGUUAGGAAAAAUAAAAGUGAGGAAAUGAAUUUAAAUUUUUAAAUUGGAUUUUUCAUGAAAAAUGUGAAGAAAAAUAAUAAAAUAUAAUAAAAAAUACCAUAAAAUUUUUCAAUUUUCAAAGUUUUCGUUCCUUUUAUAAAAGAAAUAAAUAAAUUUGGAGAUUUGUUUUAUAACUCUAAAUGUGAAAAGGGAAUAGAGGUGUUGAAAUGGUAAUCAAUAAAAACCUACAAAAUUUUCAAUAAAGUAAUUUACAAAAUAAGAAUAAAAAUAUAAAAAAAAUUACAAAAUAUUGGUAGUUGGAUUUUAUGAAAAUAUUGAAAAAUAUUAUAUAAAAAUUCCUAAAAAAAUUUGAUGCAAUCAAAAUUGGCCAAAACCCAUAACAAGAAAGGAAAACCUACCUUUUUCUUUUCAAUCCUAAACUUCAAAUACUCAAAUUCAAUUUUCAUACAAAAUUAAACUAAAUAUAUUUUUAGAAAUUUUAAAUAACUCUUGUUUUAGAAACUAGUUAAACUACCUUCAUGUAGUAUAAUUUAAAUUAAAAAAAAUGAAUUUACCAUAAAUUAAUGAAAUUAUCAUUCUCAAAAAUUUAAUAUGACUAAAAUAAAUUUUGUUUUUUUCUAUUUUUUCUCUUCUUUUUCAAGAAAAUUUAGAUCUAAAACUUUCCCAUGAAAUGAUAACUCAUAAACCACACCAACAAUAUAAAAGUGAAAUCAGUAUAUAUAAAAUAAAUCCGCAAAUUUCAAAAUCAUAAAACCAAAAUUCUAUCAUAUUUAAUUCUAGUAGAAAAAAUGCAAUUUAUGGCGCUUGAUUCCUUGGCGCCUCUAAAAAGUGUCAAGGAAUUGGGUCAACCUUGGCGCUUGUAGAAUAUUUAUAAACCGAGGCGCUUCUAAAUAUAUAUGAUUCAAUGACGCUUUUUAAGUUGAUGCUUUUGGAAGUGUCAUGGUUGGAAAUGGAAAGUAACCUUGGCACUUUUAUAAGUGUCAUUGAAAUGGAGUUCAGACAUUGGCACUUACAUUAAGCGUUAUUGAAUUUACUAGUAUAUAUUUCUUUCUUUUUCCUCAUCCUAACACAUUACACUCUCAUCCCAACCCUUGGAGCCCUAAGCCAGGACAAUCACCCACAUCUUCAACCACCACCAGCACUAAUCGAUGAGAAAAUGUUACGAACAUGUUGAAGGUACUCUCAUUUCAUUUCUUUUUGGUUUGUUUGCUUACCUAGAAAAUGCGAGAAAAAACCAUAAAUUAGGUUUAAAUUUUUUGAAUCUAAAAUCUUGAAAUUUUUUGGAUCCAAAAUCUUGCAUUGGUUGAUUAGAUUGUUUCAGUUAUAUAUAACCUUCCGAUUUUUAUGUUUGAUUGAGAAAAACGUGAGAGGGAUUUGAAAAAUGCAGAGACCCUAUUUUCCUAAACCCUAACUCUUUAAACAAUCCAUUAUUGAGGUUUUCUCCAUUGCAAGGAACCUCGGGGUGCACUUGUUUUAUCCAUUAUCAGCUUAUAGAAUUGACUGCAUUUUUUCUUGGUUUCUCGAUCCACUUUACUUAACACCUCUAGUGUUGCUCCUGGAAGGGGCAAUCAGUGUAUAGAAUGAUGCCAGUUGUUUAAAUAUGUUUCACUUGUCCAAUAAAUGGUUGAAUUUUUGUUUAAGGUUUGGAGUAACACCAUUGAGUCCAUUAUGCAGACAAUUUUUAUUUCAGAAUUUCUUAAUUUUCUGAAAUGUUUUAUGUGCAGUGUCUGGGUUGCACGCAGACCACCAGGCUAUGCUUUUAUCGACUUUGAUGACCGUAUGUUUUAAAGAUUUUCUUAUAAUGGUGUUUAUUGUUCUUGAAUUUUCUCUAUGCUUGAACCCCAUGCCAACAACCAUUUCAUCUCCUUUCUCUAAUUUCUGGACAAGUUUGUCUUCCUCUUCACCUCAAUAAUUAUUAUUAAUUUUCAUUGCUAUUCAGGGUUGGAGACCUAAUAAUAAGAAAGAAUAUUCUGUUCUGUGUUGGGUUUUGGGGAUUUUUGGGUUUCAUGUUGUUGUGUUUCGAUCGUGUUGAUGUUUUUGUUUGUAUGAUGAGAGGGAUGCUAGAUAAUGACCAGGUACACCAGGUCCAAAGUAAUGGGUUAUAUCCCAUUGGUCACUGCCCUGUGUGAAGGGAUAUCUGAGUAAAAGAAAUUUAUCUCUUAAUGACUUCAUCAACUGAGUUCAAACAUAAUUUAGUUUUUCUAUUGGCGUAAUUAUGUCGUUAAUUGAACUCACUUUAUGGGACAUCUCACCAUCUCACACAAAAGCCCCCCAAAAUACAGAAGAAAAGAGAUCAGUGCAAGGGGCACGUGAUUCCUUAAAACUACAAGAUGCAUAUCUAGAUUGGUAGUUAUUAUUAUUAUUAAUUUUUGAUAAGCAAAAGAGCAAUAGAAUGGGUAUGAAUUGGAAUUUGCGCUAGCUUUGAUUGCUUUUUUUUUUUUUAUAGUGAAAAAGACUUGUAAUUUUUUUUCCCUUUAAGAUUAUUGGCUACCAAAUUAAAAAUUAUUGAAUUUGCAUUUACCAAACUUGGUAUUAGAUAAGAAUUGCAUAACAAAGUUUUCUCUUAUGUUAAAAUAAUUGUUUUUCAAACUAUGGAAUUGCAUAUAUAUGAGUAAACUGAUUGUACACUUAGAGUGAUCAGAUGGAAAGAUGACGGUUAUAAGUUCCUCAUUACCUAUUUCUUCCAACUUAGCUUAAAUAUAUUAUUUUACUCUUUCUAGUGUGAUUCUGUAUUCUGAUUGUCUUCUAAGCCUCUAUACAACAACUUAAUUAGAAUAUUUUCCAUAUUUUGAAGUAUCUUUUAUUUGAUAAUUCAACUUAUGUUUAUCCUUUAAGUUUCUUUCCCUUUGUCAUCCUCUAAUUUUUCCUUGUUGUCUUCGGCCACUUGAAUUCUUGAUAUAAAUCUUUGGGAGUUUUUUUUUUGCAUAAUGAUAGUUAAAAAAAAUAUUAAUUGAAUUUAUUUUAUUUUAUUUUAAAGAACUAGAUGAUUUUAAUAUUUAAAAAAUCAAAUUUAAAAAAUAAUAAUUUUAUUGUUUAAAAAAAUUAGUGAUUUUAAUAUUUAAAAGUUAUUUAUGAAUAUCUUAUCAACUUGAAAAGGUAAUUUGUAAACUGUUUGAAAAUUAAGACAAUAUUUUUCUAUUAUGGAGAUUAAUUUGAUUUAAUUGUAAAACGAUCAAAUUUUAAAUUUAUAAUUUUAGCAAUUAUUGAUUUUAAUAUUUAAAGGUCAUUUAUGACUAUCUUAUCAAACUUGGAAAUGUAAUUAGGAGAGCGUUUGAAAACUAAGAUAAUAUUUUUCCAUUUAUGAAGAUUAAUUUGAUUUGAUAUUUAAAAUUUUAAAAUAAAAUUUUAAAAAUAUAAUUUUAUCGUUUAAUUAGUUUGUUUUUAUAUUUAAAAAUGUAAUUUUAGCUUUUAAAAAAAUUAGUGAUUUCAAUAUUUAAAAGUCAUUUACAACUACCUUAUCAACUCGAAAAGGUAAUUUGGGAAGUGUUUAAAAAGUAAGACAAUAUUUUUUUAUUUAUGGAGAUUUCUUUGAUUUUAUAUUAAAUAAAUCAAAAUUUUAAAAUUUAAUUUUAUUGUUUGAAACUUUUAGUGAUUUAAUUUUAAAUUUAAAAGUCAUUCAUGACUACCUUAUCAACUUGAAAAGGUAAUUUGGAGAUUGGUUGGAAAGUUAGAUAAUAUUUUUCUAUUUAUGGAGAUUAAUUAAUUUGAUUUGACAUUAAUUUUAAACUUUCCUUUUAAUAUAAAAUUUUAAUAGCUUCUAAGUAAAAGGUCAUAUAAGUCUUUAUACUUUAUUUUUUAAAGAAGUUUCCCCUUUAGGAAUUAUAUUAACUACAAUAUAGUAAAUUAAAACUUGUCUAAUACACUAACAGGCAUAUGAAAAUCAAACCAAAUUUUGAUACUAAUCUUGACUUGGUUGUUUUCAUUUGUGCUCUUGUAGAUCUUAGAUUAGUUUAAUUUCUUAAAUUUGGCAUAUUGGAUUAAGAUAUAUACCAUAAGUUUGGCAUAUAUUUUUUUACUCAUUUUAUAUCUUUUUUUUCAAUGAAAUAAUUUAGAUAAAAUGUGUAAUUCCACCUAUUUACCUAAAAACUAGAUGUUGAUGCAUGUAUACACUAUCAUUUAUUUUUUAAUAAAUAUAAUUAACUUUAUUUAUUUUUCAUUGUCAGGAUUGCAAGGUUUUGUCAUAUGUUGACAAGGUUUGUGGGUUUGUAAAAUAUAGUCUAGAUUAUGUGUUAAGAACAAGAAACCAAUUAUACCAAUUUUAUUAUUUAUUUCUCAAGUUAGUCUACCAAUGUAGGUUUAGAGUACGUCACUUAACAAAAGCUAUCCAAAUUCGUGAGCAUACCAUAUUUAUGUGGAGUUUGUCGUAGAUUUAUAAUAAGUUAAAAGAAACUUUAUUGUCUUUUCAAUGCCUUCUUCAACCUUGCGCACUCCACCUUAUACAAAGAAAAGAAAGAGGAUAGGUCAUUUCUAAUUUUUGUUUUUUAAGUGGACCUUCAUUUAAAGUAUUUGAGGUCUCUUUCAAUAUUAAAUGUAUAUAUUAUUUUAUUACUAAAAGUUACUCUAGAUGGUUGAGUGACUACACAACUAAUCCUAAUUUGAAAAUAUAAAAGUUUUGAGUAUUCUUUAUGUGGGUUCAUAAAUGUGUUCUCCUUCCCUCCUUAUUACGUUUCUAUUUUUUUUCUUUUUUCUUUUAUAAAAAAAACAAGAGAUCCAACUUUCAAUGUUUUUUAAUAAUAUAUCUUCAUUAUUAUUGAAUGGAAUGAGAUGUAGUGAUUAGACAAAGUGGUCUUCUAUUGUUGAUACAGGAAAACAAGUUAUCAUUUUAUAUGACAAUUAGGAGUAGAAGGUAAUGAUUGUGACAACUAGGAGUAGAGGGCAAGAUGCACAUAAGACAUUGUUUUUAAAGGCAAGUAUCUCCUCUAUUUAUAAAGGUAAUCCACCACUACACUAGAAACUUCUCUCUUAAAGAUAGAAUAGCUUGAAAGGAUGACUAAAUAGAAGAUAAAAUUUUAUUUCUAUUACUUUACAAAUUAAUUAUUUACUUUUAUAAUUGCAUAGGAGUUAUAUGUUAUCCUAAACAAGACAAUGAUACAUUUCAUGGUUUUAUUGAAAUAAAAUAUAAAAAGAUGUUUAUUUUCAUAUCCUUGGAUUCUUAUCAUACACUUACCUAAUGAUUUAUAUUUUCAAAAACUUUGAACAAGCACCUCUUAUCAACUCAAUAAAAUUAAAAGUCAAAGGAACUAAAAUAAAAGUAAAAACUAAUCAAGUAAAUAAAAAAUAAAAAUAUAAGAAAUUAAAAAAGAAAUUAAUAUUAACAUAGUGAUAGUAAGAUGGUUUCCAUCUUAUUUGGACCUUGGUAUUAUUUUUAACUGUGCAUAGUAGGUCUUAUGUUAUUCUUUUAUUUGAUAAUGUUUAAAGAGUUCUUUAUUAAAAGUCCAUAAGGAGCUGCCCCAACUCCUAUGCUUUAUUAAUUAGCUUUGAGGUUUGCAUUUGUUAAUAUUGAAAGAAACUAUGUGUUUCUUUCUUAUGAAGUAGGCAACUAUUAUCAUUGUAAUUCUUAAAAUUGAUGCUUUUGAUGUUACUUGUUGGGAACAUGCAAGUAAGUCUGCUAGUUGAAUAUUCAUGUUGAUCCACUAAGGGCAUAUUUGAGUGCAUUUUUUUCUUCUAUUAUUUUUCUUUCAUGAACUUUAUAUCAAUAAAAUCAACAUCGGAAUAAACAAGAGUUCAAGUUCAUUGCAUUGCUUUUCAAAUAUAUAACUUAAUUCAUUCAUCUUUCAUUUGCUUCAAUUUUUGAUUGACUGCCAUUUUUAUUUUUAUUAAUAAGUUUGAACUCGAUAAUGAAUCAAUUUUCAAAUCUCAUGUAUGAUUGUUUGAACAUUCAUCAGCCAGUAUAUGAUUAUGUAAAUUUUGUUGAAUUUUAAAUUUCAUCAUCCGGUUAGAUUUGGUUAAAACUCUUCAUAAUAUACAUUAGUUUUUCUUGUAAAUUAUUUUGAAUUCAUUUUCUUAUAAUUUUCUCAUUUUCUUGUAGUGGCUAUUUUGUGAAAAAUUAAAUUUGUCAAUGUUUAUUUUUAUUUUAUUUAAUUAACCUCUUUUGAUUUAUGUUACUCUAAUGUUAUUGAUAACCUCUUUGAAGCAAAAGCCUAAUGAAGAAGACUUUGACAGGGAUGAUGCCAAUGACAAGGUAAAUGAAGAUUUUUUUUUUUCACUAUCAACAUAGUAUAAAUCAUUUUAAAAUGGAUCUUUUCAAUAAUUAAGGAAACUAAGACAUAUUCAUGUGGUUGUUUACUUAAUGAUUGAGAUAAUUAUCUUACUUAGUAGCAGUAUUUUUUAACACUAAUAAUUUAUUUACUCUAGUAAAACUUUUUACCUUUGACCCAAUAAGAAGAAUAUUAGCAUGUUUGUUUUAUUGCUUUACUUGAACAAAAGCUAAUUAACGUGUUGGAUUAUUUUCUAUUCUCAUAUCCUCUUUGUUUCAAUUAUAUUGGUUGUUAUAUGUAUAAAUUUAAAGUUUUAUAUUUUUUUUUAUUUACAGCUUGCAAAGGAAAUUGGCUUACAAGAAGAAGAGAAAUCAUUACAAUAAAGCGAUGUUGGAAAUCAUGAAGAUGAUAUCAUUUAAAUCUUUAAGAGGUUGAACUAGACUUUUGUUGAUGAUGGUUUCUUUUUGUAGUUAUUGCACCAGUAUUUGUUCUUAUAUUGGAUUUAAAAAUUCUCAUUGAAAUAUUUUGAUCUAAUGAACAAAUUUAUAAUUUGUAUACAAGUAAUUAUACUAAUUAUUGAAACUAAGCCAUUAUAUAUUAAUAUUUGGAGAUAUUUUAAUUUGUACAAUUCAAUUUAAUUUUAUGAUUUUGCUUUUAUUUAAUUAUAUAGGAAAUUCAUUAUUUUAAAAACAUAAUACCAAUAUUAUUAUUAAAAUAAAAUGCUUAAAGAUGACGCUUCUAUUAAGUGUCAUUAUUAACAUAAACCAAAGAUGACGCUUUUAAAAUUGUCAUUGAAAAAUAAUCCAAAGAUGACGCCUUGUAUAAGCGUCAUUAUUGACUAAAACAUAUAAUGACAGGGGAGAAAAGGACGCUUUAGAGAAGUGUCAUCUUAUGCUUUUCUUGACGCUUAAAAAACGUCAUUAAUUCCCUUUUUUCUUGUAGCUACUAUUUUAAACUUAAAUUUCAAGGUUUUUAAUAAAAUUUUACCUCAAUGAAAUAGUGAUUUAAUUUUUUUUUUUACUUUAAUAAAAAAGUUGUUUUUUCCUCGGUUAUCUUUUCCAUCUUCAACUUUAUUAUAAUACUCAAAUCUAAUUUUUUUUAUACAAAAUUAAACUAAACUUAUUUUUGAAAAUUUUAGAUCACUCUUGUAUAAAAAAACUACUUAAACUACUUUAAUAUUAUAUAACUUGAAUAAAAAAAUGAAUUUAUCAUAAAUUAACAAAGAUAUAAUAAAAAUAAAUAAAUAUGACUUAAAUAAAUUUUAUUUUUAUUGAUAUUUUUUGACAAAACCAUAACCUUUCAAUAGCCUGAUUGUGUUGGACCAAGCCCACCUUAAAGUGGGCGUGUAACAGUAAGGAGAUAAUAAGAAAUAUCUGCUACUCAACCAAUAGGGAGAGAUGGUGCCAACUUAUAUUGUGUUUUCCAUUGUACUGGAUUAUUGGUCUUUGACACUACUUUGAAAGUUUAUUUUGGGUGUUUUUUAGUCCUUUUUAGAGUGUAGGAUCAAUAAAAAAAAAAAAUUGCAUGAAUUGAAUCUUUGUUGUGCUCUUAAUUCAUGCAAGAGAAUGACAUCUUGUGGGAUGAGAAUUCUUUGAUCCCUAAAUUUUUUAUAUCACAAGCAACCAACAAACAAAUUCCAUACACCAAUGUUUUAAAAACGUGACCAGCCAAUCAAAUUAGUUGGCUCUACUCGGUUUGGAUACGAUCUUGACGAUUGGUAAACUAGUGGAACCAACUAGGUUUGGAACCGGUCUUGAUUUUUUUCCAUUUAGGUUAGACAAAAAUUUUGGAAAAAAUCAAUAAGUGGAGAUGAUGUUGAAAUUUUAAUAAAAUUUAUCAUUUAUAUUUAUGUUCAACUAUUUUUCGUUAUAAUAUAGUUAUAGAAUGUAGUUGCAAACUAGAAGAAUAUACUUGGAGGAAUGGUGUAUGCUUUAGUGGAUGGUGUCUCAAACUCAAUUCCCAUGGAUAGACGAGUAAGAGUCAGAGACACAACAAAUGGAAUUGGCAUUAAAACGGGUUGUGAAUUAUUGAGAAAUAACUAGUCUCAUGAUGGACAAAGGAAAGAUUGUGCUAAGAAGAAAUGGGGUUUUGUUGCAGUUCUGUGUAGGUUGAUGAGUUCUUCGGUCUAACAUGUGUGAUUUUCUCACUUUUGAAACUUCAUUUUUGGUUUUGAUCCAUUUUAGAGAAGAUAUGUGACACAAUCCAAAAUGGGGUUACAUUGUCUCUUGCUUUUGGCUGUUGUUAUCAUUUGUUGCCUUCAUAUGGUAGAAUAAUGUUUGUUAACUAAAACUUCUAUGACCAAGUUUGAAUUUGAUACAUGGAUGGAGCUGAUUUGUUUAAAUAUUCAUGUUUUGGUGAAUACAAGUCAUUUUAAUUGAGCAAAAAAUACAUAUAAUGUAGAAGAUGGAUAAAAUUAAGUUAAAUACUUACAUAAAAUUAAGAUUUUAAGACUCUUCAAUUUAAUAAAAGUUUUGUUGUACUAAGGAUUAUGGGUUAUGCAUUCAAUUUUGGGUAGAAGGAAAAUACUAUCCAAACAAGGCCUACAUAUAAUCUAAAGCAUUCUCAUCCUUAGGAAGCCUAGGGAAUGGAUUAGAUUAAAUAAGUUAGCUCAAAAGUGAUGUAAAAUGUGGGUAUGUUGUAUAAAAACACACAUAUUUUCUUCUUGUUUUUCACCAUUCAAAAAGUUAUGAUCUGCUUAAUUUGAUUGAAAAAAAAAACCAUACUACUUUUCUUUUCCCAAUUAUAAAUUUUAGCCACUUUUUGUCAAAAUUAACCAGAAUUCUGUAUACACCAAAAAGGGAGAAAAAGGUCAUAGAUUUAGGUUAAUAAAGAAAUAUAGUUGGGACAAAUAAUUAAAAUAUCUUACAUUGGUCGAUCAUCAUAUCGUACUCAAAUUUAAUAAGUUAGUGGAGACAUAACUAAUAAAUAUAUUUUCAAAGAGAAUUUGAAAAUUUGAAAUUGGGAAUUUCUUCUAUUCAUUUUUAAUAAUUUUUAGGGGCUACUAUAAAUUUUAUCCACAAAAGGAUAACGUACUCUUUUUUUAGUAGUUAAACAAGCUAUAACCUUUGAGAAUCACUAUUGAUCUUAAUAAAGGUCCUUUUUAUAUUAAGAAAUUUCUCUUUGAAUAAAUUAAAAGAGAAAUUUUGUCUUUUAUUGCAACUGUAAUGACAUUCACUUUCAAAGCUUGUAAUUAUACAUAGAGCAUAUAAAGAUCUACAAACAAAAUUUAUUACCUUCGCAGGUGAUCUUUGGCAUAGGUUGCUAUUCCUCUCAACAACCAUUUGACAAUUUUAUCCACAAAAUCAAAGUAGGUCUCACUCCAAGAUUUCCUUGUUGCCAAAACAAAAUAUGGAACUAAAAUACCCAUCGCAAAUCCCAAGCCAACACUCAAGUAAAACCAUUGAUCAAUAUAGCCACCAUCAUUUUUGUCCUCAAUAACACUACACUUUUUAUCUAGAUCUUCAUCUUGGCAUUUUGUGACCAAUGGAGCUCCACAAAGAUUAGGGUUUCCAACAAAGGCCGACUCAUUGAAGGUUGUCAUUUGCCCUAUAAAGGGGAUCUUACCAGAGAAAUUAUUAUUCGAUAGAUUCAAAUAACUCAAGAAUGUUAAUGAAACCAUGCUUGAAGGAAUGCUGCCGGAAAGCUUAUUCCUUGACAAAUCAAGAGAUAAUAACUGGUGCAACAUUGAAAUGCUUUCAGGAAUUUGGCCACUGAUGUGAUUCCCAGACAAGUUCAAAACCACCAAACCAAACAAUUUUGUUAUUUCUUGGGGAAGCUCUCCACUUAAAUUAUUGUCGGAUAGGUCUAUGCCUACAACCAAAGAAAGAGUCCUGGUGUAUGCAAGACUUUGACCUUUCAUAAUCACCACCAAUCGUUCUUCAUACUGAGAGUUUCUCACAUUGUCAUACAAAGGAUAUAUAUUCUUGUUAUACUCCGGAACCAUGGCUUUAAGCUCAAACAAAGUGACUGGAAUUUCACCCAUCAGAUUGUUUUGUGCAAGGUCUAAGACAUGUAGGGAGCUUAAAUUUGAAAGCUGGGAGGGAAGUCUUCCAAAAAAUACAUUUGACCUCAAGUUGAGUAUUACAAGAUUUAUGAAAGCAGUUCCAAUCCAUGAAGGAACCUUACCCGAUAACUGGUUAUAACUGAGAUCAAGGAGUUCCAAUCUUGAUAAAUUUUGGAAAGAUGAGUGGAGCUCUCCUGAAAGCUUGUUGUCGUUCAGAUGCAAUGAUUCGAGCCAUUGUAACUGGCCCAACGACUUUGGUAGCAUCCCAGAUAAAUUGUUAUUUCCAAGGUCAAGAACAAUUAGGCUAGAGCAAUUACCUAUGGUAUAAGGAAUGCUUCCAGUCAAAUUAUUCCUUGAAAAAUCAAUGAUUUGAAGAGAGGUGAUUUGUCCUAUGGAAUCUGGGAUGGUCCCUGUUAUUUGAUUUUCCGAAAGGAAAAGGUAAUUCAAGUCUAACAUAGAUUCACCUCUGCUCAGUGGGAUAGGGCCAAAAAAUUUAUUGUGUGAGAGAUCUAGUAAAUAGACCCCUUUGAUUGAAAAAGGAAUAAGUCCCUCAAAGAGGUUGGAACUGAAAUCAAUCUCUGAUUCACCAUAAAAAUUUAAUGAAUUUGGUAGCUGACCUUGUAACUGAUUGUUGGAAAGAUUCAACAGUUGUAGAUUAAAAGAAAUAUUCCAAAACCACUUGGGUAUGGAACCUGAGAUGCUAGCAUUUGACAAAUCCAGAAAGGAGACCUUCUUUUGAGAUCUAAGCCAAGUUGGGAAUGAAGGGCCUAAAUUGCAUGAAGCCAUACUCAGAAAAGUGAUUUGGAAUGGGGGGACCCAGGUGGAACUAACAUUCAAAACGAGACCUGAAUUUCCACCUAUCCACAGAAACUUCAGCUUACUCAACUUUGAAAAAUGUUCUUCAGAAAGAAUUCCUGUCAAGGUAUUAAGAGUAUUAAAAUAAUUUCAUUUAUUUAUUUAUUUUAUGAAAAAUAAGAAAUUUCAAGAGAAAUGAAUUUUCAGAAAAUGUAUAAUAAAUCAAAUGAGUGGAAAAAAGAUAAUUUAAAAUAUUUUUUAAAAACAAGUGUUUACAUGGAAUCAAUAUAUACACGAUUACCAGAAGAAAAUUUUAAUGAAUUUGGUAGCUGACCUUGUAACUGAUUGUCAGAAAGACUUAAUUCCCGCAGAUUGAAAGAAAUAUUCCAAAACCACUUGGGUAUGGAACCUGAGAUGCUAGCAUUAAAUAAAUACAGAUAGGAGACCUCCUUUUGAGACCUAAGCCAAGUCGGGAAUGAAGGGCCUAAAUUGAAUGAAGCCAUCGCCAGAUCAGUGAGUUGGAAUGGGGGGACCCAGGUGGAACUAACAUUCAAAACGAGACCUGAAUUUCCACCCAUCCACAGAGUCUUCAACUUACUUAACUUUGAAAAAUGUUCUUCAGAAAGAAUUCCAGUCAAGCGAUUCCCAUAAACUUCCAAUACAACCACUUCAGAAAGUUGUCCAAAACUAACUGGGAGACUCCCAUUCAGUUCAUUCCAUACAAGCCGCAUCUCAUUCAGAUUUUUGAAUGUCCCAAAAGAAGCAGGGAUAGGGCCUUGAAGCUUGUUCCUGGAUAGAUCCAAAUAUGUAAGUUUUUCCAGCUGACUCAACCGUUCUGGCAAUCAGCCCACUAAUUGAUUCGAGGACAAGUCCAAAUACCCCAGUUCUGGUAAAGGACCUUCAGAACUGCAGUUUUUGAUCUCUUCGAGAAACUCAGAGAAACUUCCUGCAAUCAUCAUCAAGAGUAUUAAAAUAAUUUGUUUUUAAUAAAUUGUUUUAUGAAAAAUAAGAAAGUUCACGAGAAAGGUAAGAAACUUUGCCGUCUUAAUGCAUUAUCAAAUGAACGGAGAAAAGAUAAUUUAAAAUAUUUUUAGAAACAAGUGUCUACAUGGAAUAAAUUGAGAAUAUUGUUUUUAGAAAUUAAAAUUUCCAAAUAAAAUUUUGUUUCAAAAUAUAAUAUAAUAUUUGUAAAAAUUAUUAUAAAAAAACUCAAAAUUUGAUUUUGAAAAAAUAUUUUAAAAAGGUUUACAAGAAACAAAAUACAUUAUAAUAUUUGUAAAAUUAUUAUAAAAAACUCAAAAAAUGAUUUUAGAAAACUAUUUUAAAAUUUGUUUACAACCAAAACCUAGAUUUUGUAGUGUAAUCUUUCAAAUACAUCAAAAGCCCUAAAAAGUCCCCUUUAUUGGUCAAUUGUGAAUUGAAUUUAUGACAAAUCAUGCAUCAUCAAGAGUAAAAAAUAAUUUAAUUUAAAAUAAUUUUCAAAAAAAAAAGAGAGAGUUUAUGAGAAAACAAUUUGAUGAGUGGUGAGAAGAUAAUUGAAGUUGCUUUGAUGGUUUAAUGAUAAAAGUAAGAGAUUAUUAGAAAGUCAGAAUAAUUUAAUGCAAAAUAUUUUUUAAAAACAAGUGUUAAACUGUAGAACCACUACAUUAUUUUGAUGUAUCAAAAUCAAUAAGCAAUAAUAAUUUUUCUAAGCCAAAAACGUACCAAGAAAUUUAUUUUUUGCCAAAUUCAGAAAUUCUAUCUUCUUCCAGCUNNNNNNNNNNNNNNNNNNNNNNNNNNNNNNNNNNNNNNNNNNNNNNNNNNNNNNNNNNNNNNNNNNNNNNNNNNNNNNNNNNNNNNNNNNNNNNNNNNNNUGUUUUUAAUAAAUUGUUUUAUGAAAAAUAAGAAAGUUCACGAGAAAGGUAAGAAACUUUGCCUUCUUAAUGCAUUAUCAAAUGAACGGAGAAAAGAUAAUUUAAAAUAUUUUUAGAAACAAGCGUCUGCAUGGAAUAAAUUGAGAAUAUUGUUUUUAGAAAUUAAAGUUUCCAAACAAAAUUUUGUUUCAAAAUAUAAUAUAAUAUUUGUAAAAAUUAUUAUAAAAAAACUCAAAAUUUGAUUUUGAAAAAAUAUUUUAAAAAGGUUUACAAGAAACAAAAUACAUUAUAAUAUUUGUAAAAUUAUUAUAAAAAACUCAAAAAAUGAUUUUAGAAAACUAUUUUAAAAUUUGUUUACAACCAAAACCUAGAUUUUGUAGUGUAAUCUUUCAAAUACAUCAAAAGCCCUAAAAAGUCCCCUUUAUUGGUCAAUUGUGAAUUGAAUUUAUGACAAAUCAUGCAUCAUCAAGAGUAAAAAAUAAUUUAAUUUAAAAUAAUUUUCAAAAAAAAAAGAGAGAGUUUAUGAGAAAACAAUUUGAUGAGUGGUGAGAAGAUAAUUGAAGUUGCUUUGAUGGUUUAAUGAUAAAAGUAAGAGAUUAUUAGAAAGUCAGAAUAAUUUAAUGCAAAAUAUUUUUUAAAAACAAGUGUUAAACUGUAGAACCACUACAUUAUUUUGAUGUAUCAAAAUCAAUAAGCAAUAAUAAUUUUUCUAAGCCAAAAACGUACCAAGAAAUUUAUUUUUUGCCAAAUUCAGAAAUUCUAUCUUCUUCCAGCUUCCGCUUAACAGUUGAGAGCAACUACCUGUGAGAUUUCUGUUCCAAGAUAGAUCCAAGUGCUGCAAGUUAGGUAGUUCCCCAAGGCCAAGUGAAAUUUGCCCAUAUAACUCACUAGAGCUUACAUCAAUGUAUACAAGGCUGCUAAUGUUUAGAAGCCAUAUUGGGAACUUUGACCGAAAAGAGUUGCCACUGAUGCUUAUGACAGACAAUGAAGUAAAAUUGAUAGAGUUUAGAGAUGAAAUUGAACCAGAGAGCCCACACUGUUGUAGGUGCAACUCUGUUAAAAAUGAAAGCUUGUUGAAUACCUCCAUCCAGUGAGAUCCUACCAUUGAUAGGUUGACAUAGUUCAACUUGAGAUGCCUUAAGGAAACAAGAUUAGUCAUCCAUUCAAGGUUCUUAACAAAUAACUGAGAUUCAAUGGAAGAAAGAUCAAGAAAUUGCAAAUUAGAAAGGUUUCCCAAGGUUGGAGGAAUUGCACCUCUGAAUCCACAAUUUGAUAAGUUCAGAUAUUGUAAACUUUUCAAAGAUCCGAAGAAUUUA
rnacentral:lncRNA from 1 species